AAAUUGAAGAGUUUGAUCAUGGCUCAGAUUGAACGCUGGCGGCAGGCCUAACACAUGCAAGUCGAACGGUAGCACAGAGAGCUUGCUCUCGGGUGACGAGUGGCGGACGGGUGAGUAAUGUCUGGGAAACUGCCUGAUGGAGGGGGAUAACUACUGGAAACGGUGGCUAAUACCGCAUAACGUCGCAAGACCAAAGAGGGGGACCUUCGGGCCUCUUGCCAUCAGAUGUGCCCAGAUGGGAUUAGCUAGUUGGUGAGGUAACGGCUCACCAAGGCGACGAUCCCUAGCUGGUCUGAGAGGAUGACCAGCCACACUGGAACUGAGACACGGUCCAGACUCCUACGGGAGGCAGCAGUGGGGAAUAUUGCACAAUGGGCGCAAGCCUGAUGCAGCCAUGCCGCGUGUAUG
rnacentral:rRNA from 3 species